rnacentral:rRNA from 1 species
UGGGGAAUAUUGGACAAUGGGCGCAAGCCUGAUCCAGCAAUGCCGCGUGUGUGAAGAAGGCCUGCGGGUUGUAAAGCACUUUCAGUAGCGACGAAAAGCUCGGGGCUAAUAUCCCCGGGUCUUGACUUAACCUACAGAAGAAGCACCGGCUAACUCUGUGCCAGCAGCCGCGGUAAUACAGAGGGUGCAAACGUUGCUCGGAAUGACUGGGCGUAAAGCGCGCGCAGGUGGCCCGUUAAGUCGGCUGUGAAAUCCCCUGGCUCAACCAGGGAAGUGCAGUCGAUACUGGCGGGCUCGAGUCCCGGAGAGGGUGGUAGAAUUCCCAGUGUAGAGGUGAAAUUCGUAGAUAUUGGGAGGAAUACCGGUGGCGAAGGCGACCGCCUGGACGGGUACUGACACUGAGGCGCGAAAGCGUGGGGAGCAAACAGGAUUAGAUACCCGCGUAGUCC